GACAAUACAAAGGGUAGCGAAACCGCGAGGUCAAGCAAAUCCCAUAAAGUUGUUCUCAGUUCGGAUUGUAGUCUGCAACUCGACUACAUGAAGCUGGAAUCGCUAGUAAUCGUAGAUCAGCAUGCUACGGUGAAUACGUUCCCGGGUCUUGUACACACCGCCCGUCACACCACGAGAGUUUGUAACACCCGAAGCCGGUGGAGUAACCAUUUGGAGCUAGCCGUCGAAGGUGGGACAAAUGAUUGGGGUGAAGUCGUAACAAGGUAGCCGUAUCGGAAGGUGCGGCUGGAUCACCUCCUUUCUAAGGA
rnacentral:rRNA from 1 species